CUCACAUACUCCUGAACUGUAGGGAUUAAUAUACCUUCCACUUGCCUCUCAUAUGCAUCCCCAGUGGGGCUCGGUAUGCUGGAAUUUGGUGGCAAGCACCACCCCCUGCUUGCUGUGCCCCCAAAUUCCUGACCCCUACAUGCCCUAUCUUUGACACCAUUGCUCUAAAGCCCCUGAGCUCUAUAACUAUUUGUUGUCAUGGCAGUAUUUUCCAUAUUGCAUUUACUCUCCUGCAUUCUAAGAAACUACUAUAGCUCUAUGGCUAUUGUAUAUAUACCUCCAUGAUUACCAUCACCAUCUCCUCCUCUUUCUCCUAUCCAUUUUAAAAAGUAGUCCUCGCCUUCAUUUUUAAUGGAUGUGGCUUAGCCACUUACCUCCAAAAGCAGGUUGAGGGCCAUGAAUCUUAAAAGCAUGGAAACACAUUCAUCAGUCCAGAGUUUGGUGCCUAAGACCCACCUCCCCACAGAAAGAAAAACUGUACUAUGUGAGACACUUUUAACUGCUUGAGACAGCUCCUCACUGAGUGUGUUAGAUGCUGCGAAUCCUCACUGAAGUACUAAUGUUAAUUAAAUUGUUAAUUUUGCCACCUCAGAUCACGAUAGAAAGAGAAUGAAGUUCAGUAUAGUGGCCCUGCUUUAAACUAUCUAACCAUUUCUUGAAACAUGAGCAUAUAGGGUCAUGACUCAGCAAGGUAAUAAAGCAUGUGGAAAGUUCAGUUAAUGCAUUAUCUUAUUUUACUGAAUCAGUCAUCAUGAUAAAACUACUGCAGUUUUACCAUUUAUGAGUUAGAGACACGUUAUCAAGGUCAGUUGUUUAUUACAAAACGUAGCCGGCUUUCUUGUGCCUCUUGGCAAAGUCCUCUGCAGAACCAUAUGCAGGUGAUUUCUAAAAAAGGGAAUGCUUCAAUAAUAAACUCUGAAUAAGUGCCAUCAACAAACCAUUUAUAAUAAAUCCUAUACCAGCACCAAGCUGAUAAGGAAAUCAUAGCUUUAAACUAUGUAAAUUUUUAACACAAAAAGUCAAUAACAAUAAUAGAGUGCCCUUAUAUGUCAAUAACAUAUAAGGAGUGGCCUUUUGGCUGAAAAAUAUAAAAUGAGAUGACCAAGCCACCAAUGGCAGACUCCCAAAUUUCCACAACUAUAAUUUUUAUAUGUAACUUCUAUAUAGAAAAGUUAUAUGAACAGUAAUUAUCAGUCUUACAGGAUCUUUCAUUACACCCACACUCUUCCUGUAUUCAAGUUAACAGGGGGUUUUUUUAGCAUGACAAAGGGUUGAAUUUGAACCACAGAUAAAUGAUAGGAAAUAGAUCUGCACUUUGUUUCCAUUUAUACAUUCAUUGAGGUAUGUAUUUAUUAUCAAGACAUUUUCAAAGGCAAAAAAGAGAAAUCUAUUUAUAAAUCAACCUUAAAUUAAUAUACUAAAAAGAGCCAGAAUCAUGCCAGCAUAUAUACAAACACAUGCAUAACAAGUUUUCCCCACUAUUUACAUUCAUGUAAUCAAAGUCAUAUAUGAAAGAUCUGUUCGUCUGGCGGUUAUACUUCUUCAUUAAAAACAACUGUACUAUACAGUUUUUCUCAAGGCAGUGUUCCAACAGUUCCUAUUAAUAACACGUUUAGCCCUGGAUUCAGUAAAGCACUUGAACACUCGCCUGAAAUCAAUACAUCUACUCCUAUGUUUAAAAUUAAGAAUAUGCUUAAGGGCUUUUGUUAGAGCGGAGCCAGCAGGUGAAAAGUAUUAACUCCCAAUGGUAUUCUGUAGAAACCAAGACUAAUUCGUAUCUUGGAUGGGGACACAAAACAAUGAAAUAGGCACACUCUAUAUAAAGCAUUAUUUUUCAAACUCAUAGGUUCAAUGUAAGUGUAUAAAACAUAAGUUGUGCCUUCACCUCUCUGAUAUGCAUGAAUGCUACAUAAGAUUCCAGUGAGUUCAGGUGUGGACAU